UACGGAGGUCUCAAGCGUUGUUCGGAUUCAUUGGGCGUAAAGGGCGCGUAGGUGGCUUGGUAAGUCGGAUGUGAAAUCCCGGGGCUCAACCCCGGAACUGCAUUCGAUACUGCUGCGCUAGAGUACUGGAGAGGAGAUUGGAAUUUACGGUGUAGCAGUGAAAUGCGUAGAUAUCGUAAGGAAGACCAGUGGCGAAGGCGGAUCUCUGGACAGGUACUGACGCUGAUGCACGAAGGCCAGGGGAGCAAACGGG
rnacentral:rRNA from 1 species